AGAGGCAGAUGGGAUUGGUGAAGCUCAUGACUGGAGAAGCAGAAGAAGGCAUGCAUGCUUCCUAAUAUUCUGCUCCAGUUGAUCCUUGGUUGUUUGAAGCUUCUCCCCUGUGAUCUACUGACACAUCAAUUCAAAUCUGUAUCAAGAAAAAUAAAAACAUUGGAAAACUUAAA